UUUGGCUGCUAGAAUCUAUCAACCUUCUUGUUAAAGGCGAACACAGAUCAGUUGAGGGAUUAUCACCACUCUUCAUCUCCCAGCACAUGCAAGAAGAUCACAGAUCGUAGAGCUAAGAAUUCAAGAAAUUACACACUUUCAACCAGUAGAAGACAGAAGCUGAUGAAGAAAUGCUUUUCCCUUAGUAUCACCAGAUACCAAGGUGCUGCCUGCCCAUCGUGGGUUCCUCCUGUUGUUCCUCCUGCUCAAGCAACUUGAUCGCCACAACCAGCUGCUCUCCCAGCACCUGCCAGCUGAGCUCCUCUUUCAACAGUGGCUGCCAGGAGACCUGCAUUGAGCCCACUAGCUGCCAGAGUUUCUGUGUGGUGCCCAGCCCCUGCCAGGUGCCCUGCUACUACCCCAGGAGCUCCACACCCUGCAGUCCUUGCCAGGGAACAUAUGCUGGCUCUCUGGGCUUUGGGUCCAGCAACGGUUUCUCCCAGGAUUAUGGAUCUAGAAGAUGCUACAUCAUGGGUUGUGGAUCCACUGUCUUUGAACCUCUGAAUUAUGGAGUCUCUGGCUUCCCUUUCCUGAGUUAUGGGUACAGAUUCUGCUACCCAAUCCACAUGGCUGAUAAUAUCUGCCAACCAUGUUAUAAACCAACCUGUGGUAAUAUUAUCUAGGGAUUCAACUGCUGAGCCCCUCUCUUCCUUCAUGCAAUAUAUAAGUAAAAGUCUGUAUGCCCUGCAAAAAUUGUUUCUUGCUUACCUCCUCUUGCUAUCUGUUAUUUCUUCCAUUAUCAGCUUCUCUCAUUCUCAAUUACUGGGAUAUUCUGGAAUUUAUGGGUAACCUCCAAUUAUUCCUUUCUCUCUUUACUAUGGAAAAAUAAUGAUACAUGUAGUUUGGUUUUCAUCCAAGGGUAGUUGAAAACUCAAAAUUUUUAUCUAAUAAAUGUAUGCAUUCUGAAACCUCAA